UAGGGAAUCUUCGGCAAUGGGGGCAACCCUGACCGAGCAACGCCGCGUGAGUGAAGAAGGUUUUCGGAUCGUAAAGCUCUGUUGUAAGUCAAGAACGGGUGUGAGAGUGGAAAGUUCACACUGUGACGGUAGCUUACCAGAAAGGGACGGCUAACUACGUGCCAGCAGCCGCGGUAAUACGUAGGUCCCGAGCGUUGUCCGGAUUUAUUGGGCGUAAAGCGAGCGCAGGCGGUUUGAUAAGUCCGAAGUUAAAGGGCUGUGGCUCAACCAUAGUUCGCUUUGGA
rnacentral:rRNA from 1 species